ncrna:unclassified sequences RAGATH-18 RNA
UCUGUGGAUCGUUAUAUUAAAUGAAAGUAGUUAGUAACAAUGAGUAAUUGUUGUUAGAACGAAAUCAGACGGGGUGAAGCAGAAA